rnacentral:tRNA from 1 species
GGAAGGUUGUCCGAGUUGGCCGAAGGAGCACACCUGGAAAGUGUGUAGGCGUCACAAGCGUCUCAAGGGUUCGAAUCCCUUACCUUCCG